GGCUCCAGCAGGUGAGCUGCUGAGGUCCAGGUCCUGAACCAGGAAGGGAGGGGUGGUCCUGGGCACGCCAGGGGUCGCCCGGGGCUUCGCAGUUGCAGCCCAGGCUCUGGCCUUUGAAAGUUGCAGACUAUUAAGAUGUCACUGGAGAGUGUGGGGCGAGGCUGGUGGAAUGGAGAUGUCCCGAGCCAGCAGCAGACUCGUGGAUCGGUUGAGAGGGAAGGGCCAGAGGCCUGUGGAUGCUGCCUGCAGGCUCAGAGGCCAGGCCUGAAGUGUCCAGUAGCGUUGGUCUGCAAUAGGGGCCGCACCCAUGAACCUUAGGAGACAGGGAAAUGAUCUAGAGCCUAAACGGGGGCCCCGUUUUUGGGACUGGUAAGUUACUAGAGCCAGUUGGGCAAAUGGGCGUGAUGGUCUCCUGGUAGACUGAGUGGGCUAGGGCCGGAGCAGAGUUGGACUUUGUGGAAGGCACACAUGGGCGGAUACCAUGCUGUGGUGCAUAGUUACAUGUCUGUGUAAGACUUGUGUUUGGGUCGUGGCAUGGGAGUGUUUGUGAUUAGCCAUUGAUAGGUUCAGGAAUCAAGUUCUCUCUUAGGCCACCGAUUGGGAGGAUUGGGGCUCCCGCAUAUGCUCCCAGUGGGUUUCAGGAGUUAGGAGGGAGCAUCAGGAGUUAGGGGUAGGGGUAGGGCUCUUGGUGGUUGAGAGUGUGAGAGUUAAGAGAUUUGAUUGAUCAUGGAGAUGGUGCCACCGGAUUGUCCUGUUGAUCUUGUUUCUUGACCGGAUGCUAGUGAUUUGGGAAGUUUUAGCCAAGGUGAAAUGUUAGCGUGAAAUGGUGUUAUGCUCCGAUGUGCAGAUAUAAGAAAGACCUCCUUACUCUUCAAAGGUCCCAAGCUAUUAAAGGCAGAGGACUGAAUGCAGGACUAGCUGGUGUUGCUCCUCUUUGACUCCAGAGUUCCCUCUGGGAGGACAGGGGUCAUUCUGGAAAGUUCCUGUGUGUCCCAAUGUAGAAGAGAGAGCGAAUUUGACAUCUCGAAAGGUGAGGCCCUUCUGAGGAAGGGGCUCCUAGAUGGACCCCCAGGCCGCUGCCUUUCCAGAAUGAGCUCUGCAGAGUCCUGACCCGCGGGGUUUCG